GACGAACGCUGGCGGCGUGCCUAAUACAUGCAAGUCGAACGCAUUUUCUUUCACCGUAGCUUGCUACACCGAAAGAAAAUGAGUGGCGAACGGGUGAGUAACACGUGGGUAACCUGCCCAUCAGCGGGGGAUAACACUUGGAAACAGGUGCUAAUACCGCAUAAUUCCAUUUACCGCAUGGUAAAUGGAUGAAAGGCGCUUUUGCGUCACUGAUGGAUGGACCCGCGGUGCAUUAGCUAGUUGGUGAGGUAACGGCCUACCAAGGCUGCGAUGCAUAGCCGACCUGAGAGGGUGAUCGGCCACACUGGGACUGAGACACGGCCCAGACUCCUACGGGAGGCAGCAGUAGGGAAUCUUCGGCAAUGGACGCAAGUCUGACCGAGCAACGCCGCGUGAGUGAAGAAGGUUUUCGGAUUGUAAAACUCUGUUGUUAGAGAAGAACAAGGAUGAGAGUGGAAAGUUCAUCCCUUGACGGUAUCUAACCAGAAAGCCACGGCUAACUACGUG
rnacentral:rRNA from 1 species